rnacentral:rRNA from 1 species
GCAAGUCGAGGGGUAACGAUUAAGUAGCUUGCUACUUAAGUCGACGACCGGCGCACGGGUGCGUAACGCGUAUGCAACCUACCUCUUACUGGAGAAUAGCCCGGAGAAAUCCGGAUUAAUGCUCCAUAGUAUUAUUCUUUCGCAUGUUAGAAUACUUAAAGAUUACGGUAAGAGAUGGGCAUGCGUCCUAUUAGCUAGAUGGUAAGGUAACGGCUUACCAUGGCAACGAUAGGUAGGGGGCCUGAGAGGGUGAUC